rnacentral:rRNA from 1 species
UACGUAGGGGGCAAGCGUUUGUCCGGAUUUAUUGGGCGUAAAGAGCGUGUAGGCGGUUUGGUAGGUCCGCUGUGAAAACUCGAGCUCAACCUCGAGACGCCGGUGGAAACCAUCAGACUAGAGUCCGGAAGAGGAGAGUGGAAUUCCUGGUGUAGCGGUGAAAUGCGCAGAUAUCAGGAAGAACACCCGUGGCUAAGGCGGCUCUCUAGUACGGUACUGACGCUGAGACGCGAA